GCAUAAACGAAUGGACAAAGACGAACAUUUAUUGGAGUUAUAAUUAUGUUAAAUAGUUGCCCAAUUUUUUGCCAAAGACACCUCUAAGGACUGCUGCACAGAACAUUAAAAACUACACAAAAACAUUUACUGACAUUUGAUUAAGACAGAAGACACCAGCGUAACUGUUGUCAUAAUCACAAGAAUGAUAUCCAAGAUGACAGCACUGGUAGUGGUCUGUGUGACAAUUUCAUCAAUAUUUGUAUUGACUACACAAGGUGAAAUAACUAUAACCAGCGACCCGGAGACAAUAGUAUACAACAACUAUUUUAUAUUAACGUGUCAUAUUGGUACCAUAACUGAUGAAGUUAAAUGGAUCUAUAAAGGAAUAACUAUUUUCUCAUGUACAUCACCAUAUCGUGCUGGUCUGUGUUUUAUACAUACAACAUCACCUUAUCGUCUUUCUAAAUUUGACGUCAAUACAGCAUCUGGUAUAACCACAGUAAGGAUAUAUUCUCGCAAGAACCAGUUAGAAGGGUUGUGGACAUGUAAACACGGUAGAGACAGCUCUACGUACAAUGUUAACCCUAUUGAUCCUGU